UUGAACAUCCCACUACAAAGAGUCAACUGCACUCUAAUAUUCUAUAAUAUUACAAGAACUCUGAUUCGUGACUUAUUAUCCAUUGUAUGCAAGCUCCCCAUAAACUAGUGUCUAUAACCUAAUGAAGUGAAUGCUAUAAAAAACAAGUUCCACAAAUAAGUCUAAAACCAAAAACUUACACUAAGCAAGUCAAAAGAGGCUUACCCAAACUCUUAGAAACCUAAGGAUGACUACAAGAGAUGGCGGUGAAUGCGAUGAGAUUGUUGGUGGAAGAUAACAUCAGGAUGGGGGAACAAUGGCAUGAAUCAAUGGCUAGAUCACACUAAUAACCUUCAGUGCAUGAUCUUAUAACCUUUGCUUGAUUUUGUCUUUUAAAAGCUUUUUCAAUUGUUAAUAACUUGC
rnacentral:lncRNA from 1 species